AGAGUUUGAUCCUGGCUCAGAUUGAACGCUGGCGGAAUGCUUUACACAUGCAAGUCGAGCGGCAGCGCGGGGCAACCUGGCGGCGAGCGGCGAACGGGUGAGUAACAUAUCGGAACGUGUCCUUGGGUGGGGGAUAACUACUCGAAAGAGUAGCUAAUACCGCAUACGAUCGGGAGAUGAAAGCGGGGGAUCGCAAGACCUCGCGCCCAAGGAGUGGCCGAUAUCAGAUUAGCUAGUUGGUGGGGUAAAAGCCCACCAAGGCGACGAUCUGUAGCUGGUCUGAGAGGACGACCAGCCACACUGGAACUGAGACACGGUCCAGACUCCUACGGGAGGCAGCAGUGGGGAAUUUUGGACAAUGGGCGCAAGCCUGAUCCAGCAAUGCCGCGUGCAGGAUGAAGGCCUUCGGGUUGUAAACUGCUUUUGUACGGAACGAAACGGUGAGCUCUAAUAAAGUUUGCUAAUGACGGUACCGUAAGAAUAAGCACCGGCUAACUACGUGCCAGCAGCCGCGGUAAUACGUAGGGUGCAAGCGUUAAUCGGAAUUACUGGGCGUAAAGCGUGCGCAGGCGGUUAUAUAAGACAGUUGUGAAAUCCCCGGGCUCAACCUGGGAAUUGCAUCUGUGACUGUAUAGCUAGAGUACGGUAGAGGGGGAUGGAAUUCCGCGUGUAGCAGUGAAAUGCGUAGAUAUGCGGAGGAACACCGAUGGCGAAGGCAAUCCCCUGGACCUGUACUGACGCUCAUGCACGAAAGCGUGGGGAGCAAACAGGAUUAGAUACCCUGGUAGUCCACGCCCUAAACGAUGUCAACUGGUUGUUGGGUGCAUUAGUACUCAGUAAACGAAGCUAACGCGUGAAGUGACCCGCCUGGA
rnacentral:rRNA from 1 species